AUUGAACGCUGGCGGCAGGCCUAACACAUGCAAGUCGAACGGUAACAGGAAACAGCUUGCUGUUUCGCUGACGAGUGGCGGACGGGUGAGUAAUGUCUGGGAAACUGCCUGAUGGAGGGGGAUAACUACUGGAAACGGUAGCUAAUACCGCAUAACGUCGCAAGCCCAAAGAGGGGGACCUUCGGGCCUCUUGCCAUCGGAUGUGCCCAGAUGGGAUUAGCUAGUAGGUGGGGUAACGGCUCACCUAGGCGACGAUCCCUAGCUGGUCUGAGAGGAUGACCAGCCACACUGGAACUGAGACACGGUCCAGACUACUACGGGAGGCAGCAGUGGGGAAUAUUGCACAAUGGGGGCAAGCCUGAUGCAGCCAUGCCGCGUGUAUGAAGAAGGCCUUCGGGUUGUAAAGUACUUUCAGCGGGGAGGAAGGGAGUAAAGUUAAUACCUUUACUCAUUGACGUUACCCGCAGAAGAAGCACCGGCUAACUCCGUG
rnacentral:rRNA from 1 species